GCUCUAGGCCUCCUCCCCCAGAAGCUGAUGAUCUUUCUCUCGAGUUGCAUUAAAGCUAUGCUGCAGAAGAACCCGUGUGUGUCCUGUGUGUGUGUCCUUGCUGGCGAGACUCCAUAUCAUAUCACAGGAACAUCUGGUGCCGAAGAUCCCGGGAAUUCUACAACAUCGCCGGCAUGGAGGAGGUCCCCCAGAAAUGGGGCGGGUUCAGAACUGCAGUGGAAAUCGAGGAAGAUAAUCCCUUUUGGAUUCCGGAGCACCUCACUCGAAGGAUCCAGCUCUUGGACAAUGAGUCACAGGAACAAGAUCCCAAGACAUCGAUGGAUCAUACUCCUCAUGCUGGACAUUCUGGUUCCUAGUAUAUCUGGAGAGUUAAGAUGGGGAAUUAUGUCAACUUUCCCUCUUCCUAUGCCAGUUAUGCAUAAUGCACAAAUAUUUCCACACUUUUUCACUACAGAUAAAGAACUGGGACUUGCUUAUAUACCCUUAGAUGAACAGAUUCAGGCUUUACAAGAAAAUAGAACCUUCUUCCUGCAGGGAAGUCUGUGCUUUAUGUUAAUUUCCUUUUUACAAGAUAAGCGCCAAUGUAUAUCCUUGUGUUAUCAAUCAGCAACCUGGUUAAGAAAGACCUCUUGGGGCGUAACUACUGAUAUAAAGGCUGAUACCAUAGUUAUUAGAGGAUGGUGGCCCAGCCAAAAAGGUGGAAGAUCUAGAAAUAAGCCUCCUUCACAACCAAGAAUGGCACCCUUUUGCAAGGAAGGGUCCAUGGAAGAUGUAACGCUACCUUGGACAGGCUGCUAAGCUAAAAAAUGUACUUGGGCAGUAGAGAAAUAUUUUUCCUUUUCCCCAUAUAUUAGUAGAGAGUAUAAUGAUACUUUUGCUGGAUAUGAUUUUAGUACUAUGGACCCCCUCCAAACUAAUACUAACCCUUUUGAUCAAUGGUUGCUUUGUGGGGUUAAUGGAAGCUGUACUGAUCUUGCCCACAUGGCUAUGAUUGGAGGAGGUUCUAGUGAGAAGGGAGAAGUGACCUUUGAUUGGAGAAGUACCCCGCGCCAGAAUGAAAAACAGAGUUCAAAUUUUAAAUGGACUACAUCCAAUGUUAAAUAUAAAAAACAGAAAGAGGUACAUUUUACUGCCACCCUGGUAUGUGUAUGGCCACCGUUUUUGUGGGUGGUAAGUAACAAAAGCUUAAAUCAGAAUCAGAUAGAGAUAGAUUGCUCACAAGAAAAAUGUUUUUAUGCCUUAUGCUAGGAUGCUAAGAAAUAUCCUUUUGCUUUGGUUACCCAUGCCUAGAUUUGUUCCUGUUCCUGUAGAUGCCCCUAAUAGCUUGACUUUGUUUCGAGGGAAAAGAGAUUUUGGUAUUUCUGCUAUCAUAGUUGGACUGGUGGCCACAGCGGCGGUUGCAGCCUCUAUCACGGCCUCGGCACUCGCUCUAUCUACUACUGUUCAAACAACACAAACUAUUAACGAGCUUUCUAUGAUAGUCACAACGGCCUUAGAUAAACAGGCCACAGCCAACUCACAGAUACAAGGAGGGUUGAUGUUGAUAAAUCAACGCAUAGACCUAGUCCAAGAACAAGUGGAUAUUCUUUGGCAGUUGGCUCAAUUGGGUUGUGAAUGCAAGAUGCCUGGCCUUUGUGUUACUUCUGUUCAGUUUGAAAAUUCUACAAGAGCAGCAAAUUUGUCUAAAACUUUGUCUCGUUAUAUGUUACAGAAUUGGACCAUGGAAUUUGAGCAAACGCUUUGAGAGUUGAGAGUUGCUAUUCUACAAGUGAAUUCUAUGCGUCUUGACCCUUCGCUGAUGAAGGACUUCUCCACCUGGAUUUCCUCUGCAUUUUCCUACUUUAAGGAGUGGGUGGGGGUCGGCUUGUUUACUGUGAUCCUAUGCAGUGGAGCGUUGCUUUUGCUCUGGAUGGUCUGUAAAAUUAAAGCCCAAACAAAAAGGGA
rnacentral:lncRNA from 1 species